GACGAACGCUGGCGGCGUGCUUAACACAUGCAAGUCGAACGAAGUGGCGAACGGGUGAGUAACGCGUAAUAAACCUGCCCUUAAGUGGGGGACAACAGUUGGAAACGACUGCUAAUACCGCAUACUGAAGGAGGGGAAUGAGUCUGAUUAGCUAGUUGGAGGGGUAACGUCCUACCAAGGCGAUGAACAGUAGCCGGUCUGAGAGGAGGAACGGCAACAUUGUGACUGAGAGACGGCCCAGACUCCUACGUGAGGCAGCAUUGGGGAAUCUGCCGCAAUGGACGAAAGUCUGACAGAGCAACGCCGCGUGAGUGAUGAAGGUCUUCGGAUCGUAAAACUCUGUUAUUAGGGAAGCGGUACCUAAUCAGAAAGCCACGGCUAACUACGUGCCAGCAGCCGCGGUAAUAC
rnacentral:rRNA from 1 species